GAGAGAGAGAGAGAGAGAGAGAGAGAGAGUAUAGAGUAUAUAUACUAUACUCUUAUGAGUAUAGAGCCCUUCGUACUCAUAAGUUGUUUUCGAUGUUGGGGUUUUCGGUUCGACGAUCCACACCGUUAAACAUGAUCUAGAGUAUUUGAAACUUCUAGAAAAUAAAGUCCAUCAAGCAGGUAUAAAAUGAACGGUUAAAAUCGAACGACAUACUAAAAAUGGAUAAUCGGAUCCUUCAAUUUAAGAUCGGAGUUAUUGAUCUUUAUUUAGGUAGUGAAUAGAAUUUUCCAUAAAAAAUUCAACCUAUUCCGAUUCUUUUUCACCGUUAAACUAGCAAAUAUCUCAUACCGGCCGUUAAAAAUUGUCAAUUUUGUGAGCUUUUGAUCGUAAGGUAAAUGAUAUCGAAAAAUUAUAAAAUUUGAUUUCAAGAAGUUUUAAAUACUCUAGAUAAUGUUUAACGGUAUGGAUCAUCGAUUCAAAAGCUCUAUCACCGAAACAACUUAUGAGUACGAAGGCGAUCGUACUCAUAAGAGUAUAGUAGUCGGACUAUAUAUAUAUAUAUAUAUAUAUAUAUAUAUAUAUUGUAAGGUACUGGACUUCUAAAAUAAUGAAGUUACUGUUUAUGUUGGUUUGGAG
rnacentral:lncRNA from 1 species